CAGCCACGUCAACAGUGGGCGUCAGGCUUGUAAGAGACAUGAAUUAUAUGUGAGCUUGAGUGACCUAGGCUGGAAGGACUGGGUCCUGGCUCGGAGUGGUUACUCUGCCUUCUACAGUGAUGGAGAAUGCCUAUACCCUCUGGGUUCCUGCAUGAACGACACCAACCACGCUAUGAUCCAACUAGUGGUUCACCUUUUGAAGCCGGAUGAGGUUCCCAAAGCGUGCUGCGCACCCACCAAGCUCAGUCCCAUCUCUGUACUCUUCUACGACGACAACAAUCUACGACGACAACAACAAUGUGAUCCUAAAGAAGCAUCGCAACAUGGUGGUCAAGACCUGUGGAUGCCUGUAACAUCUGUGGUGGCUCAUCUAUUCUACAUCAUUUUAAUAAACUUCACUACCAUUGUUCCAAAAGAUACACACAGGGUUGAUAGCAAUAAUCUGGCAAUAUGAGGCUAAAUAGUAUGUAUCUACACUGAACAAAAACAUAAACGCAACAUGCAACAAUUUCAAUGAUUUUACUGAGUUAUAGUUCAUAUAAGGACAUCAGUCAAUUAAAAUAUGUUCUUUAGGCCCUAAUCUAUGGAUUUCACAUGACUGGGAAUACAGAUGUGCAUCUGUUGGUAACAGAUACCUUUUUAAAUGAAGAUAGAGCGUGGAUCAGAAAACCAGUCAGUAUCUGGUGUGACCACCAUCUGCCUCAUGCAGCGGGACACAUUUAAUUUAAUAUAUAUAUUAAUAUAACCUUUAUUUAA